ensembl:ncRNA ZK377.4 ncRNA
UGUGUGUGUGUGUCUAUUCUCGUCUUUCUUUUUCCACUUUUCUCACUUGCGCAAAAACGUAAGGGCGAAGACGUUGCGCGCGUACUAACAAUGGGCCCCCACCCUUCCGCAGCUCCGUAACAAAUUUGUUCUGAAGCCGUAGUACAUCACGCUGUCAUCUGCUUUUGUGCCCCCCCCCCCCCCCCGUCCAUGUUUC